rnacentral:tRNA from 1 species
GCUUUCGUAGCUCAGCGGUCAGAGCAAGAGCCUCUAAAACUCCGGGUCGUGGGUUCGAAUCCCACCGAAAGCGCCA